UGGGAGCGUUGAAUGGCGGGCUGGCCUAGUAGGCCCCGGUUAGGGUAUGUGUAGGGGGCUCCAAGCUCCCAGUUAGGCCCUUCCCGUGUACCACGUGGUCAGGAGGAUGCCCAGACCAAGGAGCUCCAUUUUGUGUGCUUUUAUAUAUUUGUCUCUGCCUGGGUGUGUCCGAGUGAGUGACUGUCAACUUGACACAGCCUAGAAUCACGUGAAGAAAACAAGCCUCAACUGAGUAAUAAUUGACUUUAUCAGGAUACAGAAAUGAAGGGACAAGAUUGCCGACUCCAAGGAGCUCACUGUCUGCGAGGAGGAAAGGUUUCAGUCUCAGUCUGGUGCUGGUCUGCCAAAGACCGGGGCUCCACUAUCCUAUCUGGCAGCCAUCAGUCAGGUGCAGCUUUUGGAUUAAUGCACACUGAGAGAGCUUUGGGAUAAAAUGCAAUUUAGAUGUUACUAGCUUAAC